rnacentral:misc_RNA from 1 species
GGAGGUGAAUUACUUCCCUUCAAGAUAUGAUCCUUGUCGCCAUGCUGAGAAGUUCCCGAUGCCGCCUAAUGUGUUGAGCGGCAAAAGAGAAAGGUGUGUGAUUCCCAAGGAGAAUCAUAACUUUAAGCAAGCUGGAGACAGAUACCGAUCAUGGGCACCAGAUAGGCAAGAGCGGUUCGUAAGACGGUUUGUGGAAGCGUUAUCGGACCCCCGCGUCACACACGAGGUUCGCAACAUAUGGAUCUCGUAUUGGACUCAGGCUGACAGGUCAUUGGGCCAAAAGAUAGCGUCUCGUGUGAAUGUGAGGCCAAACAUCUAAGAAACGCCUAACAUAAUGGCCAUUGCAUGGUCAUUAUUCCUUUCCAUUUCCACGAAGCUUCAGAAUGUGUAAUGUUAAUAUGUAAGAAUUGAAGGGCAUAUCUGCAAAAACUAGAAUCUUGGAGGAGGAAAUCAUCAAAUGCAUCUGUAAAACUAAAGAUCUUGUUUUAAUUUGGUACGAGUCGUCCAACUUUGUUGUUGUCUUUGCAUGGGGGCUGCCAAAUUGGGUGUGUUUUAUCCUUUUGAGUCCCCCUUUUGGUUGCUUUGUUCUUAAGAAUAAAAAUGGGUUUUUUCUUUUUCUUUUUUCUUUUCUCUCUAUUUCUUCUUGGUGUUGGUUGGGAAGAUGAUGAGAGAUAGCACGUGUAAUGCUUCUUUGCAUUCCACUUUC